rnacentral:rRNA from 1 species
GGGUGAGUAACACGUAUGGAACCUGCCCUAUGCAGGGGGAUAAGCGGAAGAAAUUCCGUCUAAUACCGCAUAACACCAUUUGGAGACAUCUCCAGGUGGUCAAAGGAGGCGACUCCGGCAUAGGAUGGCCAUGCGUCGCAUUAGCUAGUCGGCGGGGUAACGGCCCACCGAGGCGACGAUGCGUAGGGGUUCUGAGAGGAAGGUCCCCCACACUGGUACUGAGACACGGACCAGACUCCUACGGGAGGCAGCAGUGAGGAAUAUUGGUCAAUGGGCGCAAGCCUGAACCAGCCAAGUCGCGUGAGGGAAGACGGUCCUAUGGAUUGUAAACCUCUUUUGUCGGGGAGCAAAGCGCGGUACGAGUACCGCGAAGGAGAGUACCCGAAGAAAAAGCAUCGGCUAACUCCGUGCCAGCAGCCGCGGUAAUACGGAGGAUGCGAGCGUUAUCCGGAUUUAUUGGGUUUAAAGGGUGCGUAGGCGGAUUUGUAAGUCAGCGGUAAAAAUGCGGUGCUCAACGCCGUAUCGCCGUUGAAACUGCAGGUCUUGAGUGAGCGAGAAGUAUGCGGAAUGCGUGGUGUAGCGGUGAAAUGCAUAGAUAUCACGCAGAACUCCGAUUGUGAAGGCAGCAUACCGGCGCUCAACUGACGCUGAGGCACGAAAGCGUGGGGAUCGAACAGGAUUAGAUACCCUGGUAGUCCACGCAGUAAACGAU